rnacentral:rRNA from 1 species
UGGGGAAUAUUGCACAAUGGGCGCAAGCCUGAUGCAGCAACGCCGCGUGAGGGACGACGGCCUUCGGGUUGUAAACCUCUUUUAGUAGGGAAGAAGCGAAAGUGACGGUACCUGCAGAAAAAGCACCGGCUAACUACGUGCCAGCAGCCGCGGUAAUACGUAGGGUGCGAGCGUUGUCCGGAAUUAUUGGGCGUAAAGAGCUCGUAGGCGGUCUGUCGCGUCUGCUGUGAAAACCCGAGGCUCAACCUCGGGCCUGCAGUGGGUACGGGCAGACUAGAGUGCGGUAGGGGAGAAUGGAAUUCCUGGUGUAGCGGUGGAAUGCGCAGAUAUCAGGAGGAACACCGAUGGCGAAGGCAGUUCUCUGGGCCGUAACUGACGCUGAGGAGCGAAAGCGUGGGGAGCGAACAGGAUUAGAUACCCUGGUAGUCCACGCCGUAAACGUUGGGCGCUAGAUGUGGGGACCAUUCCACGGUUUCCGUGUCGCAGCUAACGCAUUAAGCGCCCCGCCUGGGGAGUACGGCCGCAAGGCUAAAACUCAAAUGAAUUGACGGGGUCAUAGCUGUUUCCU